GUUCUCGCUCCAGCAGAACAUACACUAAAAUUGGAGCAAUACAGAGAAGAUUAGCAUGGCCCCUGCACAAGGAUAAAUGCAAAUCCAUGAAGCAUUCCAUAUUUUU
ensembl:snRNA U6 U6 spliceosomal RNA